rnacentral:rRNA from 1 species
AUGACGGCAAUAGUUCAAUACACAUUUGACAAGAUGAAUGUGUACUUUCUAAAGUACUCAAUGGAAACGGAUGCACAGAUAGCGGGUGAGAACCCGCGCAAGUACAAGUACAAGUUCCCACCCAAGGUUGAUGAAUGGUUGGUAUUUCAAUCACGGAAGGCGGACUCAGAAGAAGCUAUAUUAUAUGACAAUGAAGAGUGGAAGUAUGAAGUGAAAGAGCCAGGAGGAACCACAAACGAUGGCCGCCAACAUGGAGGUCGUGCUUUCAAGGUGUCGUUAACACAAUGUGAUUGCUCUUACGGGAGACCAUUGUUGCUUCAUCUUCCAUGCUCACACUUGUAUACCGCCGGUCGCGUUAGGAAUGUGGACAUCAAUCACCCACGCGCCGUGAGGGAGUCGGAGUUCUCAAUCAUGACGGUCAAGAAAACAUGGGCUCCCCGCUUUCACCCAUAUCUUGACCAAUCACAAUGGCCGGAGUACCAUGGUGUUCAACUAUGGCCGGAUCCGGAGUUGAAGGUUGUUAAAUAG